rnacentral:rRNA from 1 species
AUGCAAGUCGAACGGAGUUAUUUAGUUAGAUCCCUUCGGGGUGACGACUUCUUAACUUAGUGGCGGACGGGUGAGUAACACGUGAGCAACCUGCCUAUCAGAGGGGGAUAACGUUCUGAAAAGAACGCUAAUACCGCAUAACGCACGAAACCGGCAUCGGUUUUGUACCAAAGGAGCAAUCCGCUGAUAGAUGGGCUCGCGUCCGAUUAGGUAGUUGGUGCGGUAACGGCUCACCAAGCCUACGAUGGGUAGCCGGACUGAGAGGUUGAACGGCCACAUUGGGACUGAGCCACGGCCCAGACUCCUACGGGAGGCAGCAGUGGGGAAUAUUUCACAAUGGGGGAAACCCUGAUGCAGCGUCGCCGCGUGAGGGAAGAAGGUUUUCGGAUUGUAAACCUCUGUCCUUGGUGACGAAACUGACGGUAGCCAAGGAGGAAGCCACGGCUAACUACGUGCCAGCCGCCGCCGUAAAAC